rnacentral:tRNA from 1 species
CACAUUCUAAUAGCUUAACCCACAAAGCAUUGGUCU